UGCCAGCAGAAGCGGUUAGACGAGUAGAUCCAAGUCUUAGCUAUCGGUUAAAAGAUAGUUAUACUUUAUAACAUGUGGGAUAAAUAGUAUAUAAAAGGUAAAAUGAUACAUACUUCCCUCUAUUCCCCCUCCAAGUAGAAUCUAUGAAAUUUAUAUGAGAAACCAGGAUUAGAUACCCUGCUAUCUAUAAACUUAAAGGGAACAAACUACCAGGGUAUUAUGAGCCAUGCUUAAAACCCAAAGAGUCUGGCGGCCUUCAACAGUAUUAGGGGAACCUGUCGUAUCAUCGAUAGUCCACGUUAGUCUUCACUUACUCUUGAACUUUACAGCUUGUAUACCUCCGUCAUAACUUACCUUUAAGAGAUUUGAAGUAAGUAAAAAGUAGAAGCAAUAUCAUUACCGUAUGACAGGUCAAGGUGCAGCUUAUGAGUAAAGUAUUAGAUGGGUUACAGUUCUCUAUGAGAUCACUAGAUCUUAUUGAUAAACAGAUAAGAGAAAUUGGACUUAAUAGUAAGAGAUCCAUAAGAAUAGAUCUCUGAAAUACUCACUAGAAGGUGUACAAAUCGCCCGUCACUCUCUUCGAAAGUAGAGAAAAGUCGUAACAAAGUA
rnacentral:rRNA from 1 species